rnacentral:sRNA from 2 species
ACCAGCUGUGCAGCCCUAGAGCAUCUAGGCAGCUUAAAGGGUGCAGGCAUCCGCAGUUGGACCACUUUCUGACGACAGACACCCUGCGUGCAUGGAUGUCUGUCAU